ACGAACGCUGGCGGCGUGCUUAACACAUGCAAGUCGUACGGUAAGGCCCUUUCGGGGGUACACGAGUGGCGAACGGGUGAGUAACACGUGAGUAACCUGCCCACAACUUUGGGAUAACGCUAGGAAACUGGUGCUAAUACUGGAUAUGUGCUCCUGCUGCAUGGUGGGGGUUGGAAAGCUCCGGCGGUUGUGGAUGGACUCGCGGCCUAUCAGCUUGUUGGUGGGGUAGUGGCCUACCAAGGCGGCGACGGGUAGCCGGCCUGAGAGGGUGACCGGCCACAUUGGGACUGAGAGACGGCCCAGACUCCUACGGGAGGCAGCAGUGGGGAAUAUUGCACAAUGGGCGCAAGCCUGAUGCAGCAACGCCGCGGGCGGGAGGACGGCCUUCGGGUUGUAAACCGCUUUCAGCAGGGACGAAGCUUUUUGUGACGGUACCUGCAGAAGAAGCACCGGCUAACUACGUG
rnacentral:rRNA from 1 species